rnacentral:rRNA from 1 species
UACGUAGGGUGCAAGCGUUAAUCGGAAUUACUGGGCGUAAAGGGCUCGUAGGCGGCCAACUAAGUCGGACGUGAAAUCCCCAGGCUCAACCUGGGAACUGCGUCUGAUACUGGAUGGCUUGAAUCCGGGAGAGGGAUGCAGAAUUCCAGGUGUAGCGGUGAAAUGCGUAGAUAUCUGGAGGAAUACCGGUGGCGAAGGCGGCAUCCUGGACCGGCAUUGACGCUGAGGAGCGAAAGCCAGGGGAGCAAACGGG